AUCCCGUGAGGGCUUGUCUUUAUCCACCCACUGUGGAUGGUACCAUUUCCUGGGAUGGGAUCCACACUGAGCAAAAUGGAGAACAUGAGCUGAGCGCAUGCGCGUACCAUUCUCUUUCUUGACACUGGAUACAGCUGCGUCUGGCUCCGGCCCUUGUGACUUCUCCACCAAGAUAGACUGACUGUAUCCUAGAACUGUGAGCCGAGGUAAACCCAUAAGCUGCUUUCCUCAGAGUGGUUUACCACAGAAACAAGAAAAAUAACUAAUGGGCAAGAGCACCGGGUAGAAGAUGACACAGAAAGCACAAUGGGAUUUGCUCCUUCAAGAGAAGAAUGUGAUUGUUUUUUUGGAGAGUAGAGAGGCUAUGCAGCCUGCAGAGCUGCUUCAUGCACUGAUGGAUUGAGAAUGCUUUUCCCAGAGACGCUGCCUUCCUGGGUGUUCUGAGUUUCCUGGUGUUACCUGGUUUUCCCAGAUGUCCCGGCUUUCUGGAAGGCGAUGCGUUCCCAUGCGGGCGGCAUUUCCUGGAUGUACUUCAUUCCCAGAGGUCUUAAACUGUCCAGCGGCCCAGGAAGGGUAGAUGUGAUGGUUUGAAUGUGCUUGACCCAGGGAGUGGCAUUAUUAGGAGGUA
rnacentral:sRNA from 1 species